rnacentral:rRNA from 1 species
AGAGACAGGACGUAUCUGUCGUAGUAUGUGGAUUCCCUCGGCGAGUAACACAUAUGCCGCGGGGGUACGCCAAAUUAAAUAAAAAGAUGGGGGACCCGCCACAGCAGUGUUUUUGUGUUUAUUCGAACAACGGAAGACCUUACGCAGGUCUUGACAUCCAACUACGAGGAUAGAGAUAUGUCAGUUGCCUUCGGGAAAGUGAGACAGGUGGUGCAUGGUGUCGUCAGCUCGUGUCGUGAGAUGUGGGUUAAGUCCCGCAACGAGCGCAACCCUUGCCAUUAGUUGCUACGCAAGAGCACUCUAAUGGGACCGCUACCGACAAGGUGGAGGAAGGUGGGGACGACGUCAAAUCAUCAUGCCCCUUAUGACCUGGGCUACACACGUAAUACAAUGGCCGUUAACAGAGGGAAGCAAAGCCGCGAGGCAGAGCAAAUCCCUAAAAACGGUCUCAGUUCGGAUCGCAGGCUGCCCCGCCUGAAAGAAGUUGGAAUUGCUAGUAAUCGCGGAUCAGCAUGCCGCGGUGAAUACGUUCCCGGGUCUUGUACACACCGCCCGUCACACCAUGGGAGUUUGUAACACCCGAAGUCUGUAGUCUAACCGCAAGGAGGACGCAGCCGAAGGCAGGUCUGAUAACUGGGGUGAAGUCGUAACAAGGUAGCCGUAUCGGAAGGUGC